GGAGCUGUGCCUGAAUUAUAGGACUACUUUGAUAGAGUAAAAUAUAAGGGUUAAAGCCCCUUCAGCUCUU
rnacentral:tRNA from 1 species